GCACCCCUAAGACUGUGUUGAUCUAGGCAUGACAAUGGUGCGGGCAAGGUGGUUUUGGGUUGUCGAAGCUUUACUCCCAUCACUGGGUGCCCCGCCUGCCAUGUUUUUAUUUUCCUUCUAUCGUUCCAUUAUUCUAUUUCAAACUGAAUGUUAUUUUCAUUCAUCUGUUUCCGUCGUUUCCGAUUCUUGCCCCGCCAAUUUUCAUGUAAACUGUUGUAUAUGGACCAAAAUUCUACAAAAAGAGGACGACGUUAGGCAUGUGAGGAGAACACAUUUUGCACCAUAGUUCUGGCAACAUUAGAAUUGACACCCUUUUUGGCUUAAUGACUAGGUAGAAGCUGGAAUUGCAUUACCUAGUGCUUCAAAGAAAAUUUUGUUUGCAUGUGACCUCCUCUAAGUAUGAGGUGGACCAGCUGGUUGAUUAGCUCAUUCAUUCUUUUCUCUGUUGGGUUCUUGAAGAUUCUGCCUUUAGGAACAUGGAACUAAAUGAGAGUAGAGAGAUAAGAGAGACAUGGGGAAGAACAGAUUCACAGAGGUCUGAAAACCUAAAACUAACAUGUUCAUUUGUGCCACUUUUCUAGGAGAGAAGGAAAAUAUAGCCGGCGUAUCUUUGCUAAGAGUCUCGCCAUCCAUGCCCCACUUAAGCUUUCUUUGCCUGGUCCCGCCUCAUUGAAUUGCCAUUCCUUCAUGUGAUUAUCAAAUAGUGCUCUCUAAUGCAGUCUUGUGCAAGUAAUUUACAUACUUUGGAUUGUGAAUGCUCUAUGAUGGCUGCUGUUGAACUACCCCUAUUAUAUUCUGCUUUCUGAAAUGUAAAGUUGGUCAUUUAACUACAGUUACAAAUGUCUCCGAGAACCAGAACUGAAAUUAAACUUAAAACUGAUGAAUGAUGAUCCCAUUCACUUUUCCUCCAUUCCAUUACCUGGAUUUCGCUUCAACCAAUUUUCUACCUAAACUUCUUUUGCUCAAGUC
rnacentral:lncRNA from 1 species